GAAUAUUGGACAAUGGGCGCAAGCCUGAUCCAGCCAUGCCGCGUGAGUGAUGAAGGCCCUAGGGUUGUAAAGCUCUUUCAACGGUGAAGAUAAUGACGGUACCCGCAGAAUAAGCCCCGGCUAACUUCGUGCCAGCAGCCGCGGUAAUACGAAGGGGGCUAGCGUUGUUCGGAAUCACUGGGCGUAAAGCGCACGUAGGCGGAUGUGUCAGUCAGGGGUGAAAUCCCGGAGCUCAACUUCGGAACUGCCUCUGAUACAGCACGUCUUGAGUCCGGAAGAGGUGGGUGGAAUUCCUAGUGUAGAGGUGAAAUUCGUAGAUAUUAGGAAGAACACCAGUGGCGAAGGCGGCCCACUGGUCCGGUACUGACGCUGAGGUGCGAAAGCGUGGGGAGCAAACAG
rnacentral:rRNA from 1 species